rnacentral:rRNA from 1 species
UACGUAGGGAGCGAGCGUUGUCCGGAAUUACUGGGCGUAAAGGGCGCGUAGGCGGGGAUUUAAGUAAGGUGUGAAAACUGAGGGCUUAACCUUCAGAUUGCACUUUAAACUGGAUCUCUUGAGGGCAGGAGAGGAAAGUGGAAUUCCUAGUGUAGCGGUGAAAUGCGUAGAUAUUAGGAGGAACACCAGUGGCGAAGGCGACUUUCUGGACUGUACCUGACGCUGAGGCGCGAAAGCGUGGGUAGCGAACAGGAUUAGAUACC